CGUCACGGCCAAUGGCCCGUCAGCGCGGGACUUUCAAGUCGGCGUCUCCGCCCCGCCCGCGGGAAGAGUGCGCCUAUAAAGACGGGCGGCUCGGGCCCCGUGCAGUUCCCGGCGCUCGUGGUCUCUGCGUCUCCCGUCUCUGCCAUGGCUCGCACGAAGCAGACCGCCCGCAAGUCCACCGGCGGCAAGGCCCCGCGCAAGCAGCUGGCCACCAAGGCCGCCCGCAAGAGCGCGCCGGCCACGGGCGGCGUGAAGAAGCCGCACCGCUACCGGCCCGGCACCGUGGCGCUGCGCGAGAUCCGGCGCUACCAGAAGUCGACGGAGCUGCUGAUCCGCAAGCUGCCGUUCCAGCGCCUGGUGCGCGAGAUCGCGCAGGACUUCAAGACCGACCUGCGCUUCCAGAGCUCGGCCGUCAUGGCGCUGCAGGAGGCGAGCGAGGCCUACCUGGUGGGGCUGUUCGAGGACACCAACCUGUGCGCCAUCCACGCCAAGCGCGUCACUAUCAUGCCCAAGGACAUCCAGCUGGCCCGCCGCAUCCGCGGGGAGCGGGCCUGAGCUCUCGAUCUCUGUUCCAUCUCACCAAAGGCUCUUUUCAGAGCCACCACAUGUGCCCGGAAGGAGCUGUUUGCGUCUCUGUCUUCGCGUGAUUUUUCACGGUCUCGGGAAGGGGUCGGUUUCGGGGUGAUUGCCGAGCAGCGAAUAGCGAUGUUUUUAGUUUCUUCAGGUCUUGCACCUGCAGUUUUUUUAGUGUUUCUAAAAGGGGUUUUGUUUUGUCUCUAUGUUAGAUGCGGACUUACGCUCAAUCUUUGCUUUUUCUAGUCCCCCUUAACGUAAUCACUGCGCUUCAUGUCUACUUGGCUAUCCUUAAACUCUGCUGUCUUUCAACUGGUAUUGUGCUGAUGUAUGGUUGCUAUUUCGAGAUGGGCUGGAACGACUUGCCGUGAGUCUGACUCUAGGGAGAAACUUGUAUCUCAGUCCAGGAAGUCAAGCAUCCGUCGUGUUAAAUCUGACCGGAAGUGAUGUGUGCCACGCCCAUCACUGACCAGUACUGCACGUGUGCUAUGACCUGGGUGGGAAAACUAGUGCACCCAUCACCUGAGUGCGAG